GGGGGUGUAGGUCAGUGGUAGAGCAUGUGCUUAAUUUGAGCAUGGGAGAGGUCCUGGGCUCAAUCCCCAGUACCUCCA
rnacentral:tRNA from 1 species